rnacentral:lncRNA from 1 species
GACUAGUGACUGAGAUUACAAGCAGUUCAUCCCAGUCUUAUAAAGAAAGUAUCAUUCAAGGAAACAAAACUGCAAAUAUUUGUACCAAGAAUAGUUUUGUCAUUCUCAAGUGAUAUUCCUAAAACAAGUUUGUAUUGAUCUGUGAUCACUUUAUCAAAACGAUCAACAGAUAAAGAUACAACUGCUGCUCUUAGAGAAAGUGUCAAUUGACGGCUGAUGAGUAUAGUGACUGUAACACACUUAACAAAACACUUCCGUUCAAGUCACCUUGUCAGCAACCUAGAAAUUAGAAUAAUUCCAACACUCCCACUAAUAAGCUUGCACUGUUUGCGAGCACAGUAGCUUGAAUCGUCUUAAUGUUCAUCUAAGGUGGUCAUUGGCAGGGCAGGAUCGUAGGCUCCAUGGGCGUGGAUAUGCUCCUAGUGCACAUUUCAGGGACAAUUUCUGUGACCCCUUCUUCCU